UCAGCACAUAGAUUCCAUACACAAAAAGCAAAAGUUAUAAAGUUUCCCCUGCUCAAAAACAAACUUUAGGGUCAGAAACCAAUUCCACCACUAAAAUAGGGUUUUCCCCCCAAACUCCAAAAAACCAACUUGGAAACUAAAUUUAAUCCCUCUAAUAUCAAUCUUUGCUUUUUCCAAAUCAAAUCCCAUCUCCAAAAUCCCAAUUUGUAACAGUAUAAGAUUUAAAGGGGCUGAGGUCAGCACCAGAAAUCCAAAUUCUCAACUAACUCUCCCUCCAAAAACCCAAUCUUGAAAAACUUCAAAUCCCAAGUCCUACUAAAAGUCCAACCUUAAAAUCUCAUCAAGCCCUCCAUUUCCAGCUAAGAUACCACCCUGUAACUCCAACUUUAUUCCCAAUUCAAUAACUUCAAACUGCCAAGAUUACCUAAAACAUACCCAAAAUGCCAACUUUUUCCAAAAUUUGAAAGCUUGAAGCUUCAAACUUCAAGUUCAAAUUCAUUUCUACAUGAAUAAAGAUUAAACUUCAAGAAUUCAUACAGACAAAAGGGAACACUCUUGACCUUAUUGGAGCUUCACUUAACUAAUACACAAUUCAGAUUCACAAAUAAUUAUUAAAAAAAACAAUUUUUUUCAACUCUUACUUGUUUCUCGAACACCCAUGUAUAAGCUUCCUCUUCCAUCUCUUUGCAUUUUAAUUCUCCUCUGUUUAAUCAUCUUCUUCUCCAUAAAUCACAUCUUUUGAGUCAAGAAUUGAAAAUACCCACUUCCCA
rnacentral:lncRNA from 1 species